GAUGAACGCUGGCGGCGUGCCUAAUACAUGCAAGUCGAGCGGACGGACGAGACGCUUGCUUCUCUGAUGUUAGCGGCGGACGGGUGAGUCACACGUGGAUAACCUACCUAUAAGACUGGGAUAACUUCGGGAAACCGGCGCUAAUACCGGAUGAUAUUUUGCACCGCAUGGUUCGAAAGUGAAAGACGGUCUUGCUGUCACUUAUAGAUGGAUCCCCGCUGCAUUAGCUAGUUGGUAAGGUAACGGCUUACCAAGGCAACGAUGCAUAGCCGACCGGAUAGGGGGAUCGGCGGCACUGGAACGGGGACACGCACCAGACGCCUGCGGUAGGGAGCAGUAUGGAAUCGGACGCAAUGGGGGAAAACCUGACGGAGCAGCGGGACGUGAGAGGUGAAAGUCUUCGGAUCGUAAAACUCUGUUAUGAGGGAAGAACAGAUUUGUAAGUAACUGUGCACAUAUUGACGGUACUUAAUAAGAAAGCCACGGCUAACUACGUG
rnacentral:rRNA from 1 species